rnacentral:rRNA from 2 species
GAUUAAGUUAUUAAGGGCGCACGGUGGAUGCCUUGGCACUAGAAGCCGAUGAAGGACGUUACUAACGACGAUAUGCUUUGGGGAGCUGUAAGUAAGCUUUGAUCCAGAGAUUUCCGAAUGGGGAA